AACCUAGCACACCUGCGGUGUGUACCUGCGGAGGGAUCAUUAACGAGUUACCACUCUAUAACCCUUUGUGAACAUACCUACAUGUUGCUUCGGCGGUCGGCCCCCCCGGGCCCCCGGCCCCGCUCACGCGGGGCGUCCGCCGGAGGAUAACCAAACUCUGAUUUAACGACGUUUCUUCUGAGUGGCACAAGCAAAUAAUCAAAACUUUUAGCAACGGAUCU
rnacentral:misc_RNA from 1 species